AGCGAACGCUGGCGGCAGGCCUAACACAUGCAAGUCGAACGAACUCUUCGGAGUUAGUGGCGGACGGGUGAGUAACACGUGGGAACGUGCCUUUUGGUUCGGAAUAACUCAGGGAAACUUGUGCUAAUACCGAAUGUGCCCUUCGGGGGAAAGAUUUAUCGCCAUUAGAGCGGCCCGCGUCUGAUUAGCUAGUUGGUGAGGUAACGGCUCACCAAGGCGACGAUCAGUAGCUGGUCUGAGAGGAUGACCAGCCACACUGGGACUGAGACACGGCCCAGACUCCUACGGGAGGCAGCAGUGGGGGAUCUUGCGGAAUGGGCGAAAGCCCUACGCAGCCAUGCCGCGUGAAUGAUGAAGGUCUUAGGAUUGUAAAAUUCUUUCACCGGGGACGAUAAUGACGGUACCCGGAGAAGAAGCCCCGGCUAACUUCGUG
rnacentral:rRNA from 1 species